GGGAGCUGCUGUGUUUCGGGUCAUCUAAAUGUGACCGGGCUGAGAGACGCCCUGUGUCUCCCAAGUGUGCCUGUGAGGGGCUUCCAGGAGGGUUUGUGCUCUAACCACAGAAGCUGAGUUGAGAAGAUUCUGCCCUUGGGAGGACAGCACACAGCAAUCAGUUCUCUCCUUUGAUCACGUGGGUCCCAGGGACUGAAAUCAGGCUAUCAGGUUUAGUGCCUUGCUGCUAGGCAGUCCCCAAAGGCUCCCCGGGGCUGGACUUGAAAGAUCCUGGCUUCAAUUAUCAAUCAGACACCAAGUCAUCCUCCCCUGAAGAUGCCCCAGCAUCCAACCUUGGGAAACAACAUUCUAGGAAAAGCGGAUUUGAAGACACAAGAGAUUCCUUCAAGUUAAAAAUAAAAGGUUCCCGCUCCACCAUGCCAGUUGAGGGGAGGACAAAGACCUGGGCUGGGCCCUUCACAGUCCCAUGAGGGAGAGGAGCUCAAACGCCUGGCCACCUAGAGACCCAGGAAUCCACCAGGAGCUACAGAUGAAGACAAAUAGGUGACUACGGACUGGAUUAAAAGUCCCUGUACCCUCCAAUGUGGGCACAGGGCUGCAAGGAACUGCACUGUCCUCUGUUUCUCAGAAAGCCAGUGUGGCUUUGGCCUUGGGUCCCACCUUGUUGAGCAGAUGAAGGAUCCCUCUGGAGAGUGCAUAGGCAUCUCCUUUCCUAAUUUCCCUAAGACUUUUGCAGUUCCUUGACAUCAAGUCCGUGGUCUACACUGAGUGGCCUCCAGU